rnacentral:lncRNA from 1 species
GAAGCCAGGCCAAGAAGAAUCCCAGGACUGGAAGGCCUUGUGGGACGUCCCAGGUUUGUCUUGUGUCAAUAGCACUGAUACUCAAUCUCCUACUCCCAUCUGUGAGCAUGCAGACCCUACUUGCCUUCCCACAGCCUCCCUUUUCAUAUUUUUCAUGUUUCUUUAGCUCUGUCUUCAAGCCUUGUUGCUCCCGCAAAAAAACCUGCCUCUUCCUCCAGUCCUCCCAAGCAGGGGGAACAGUCCUGACACCUUUCCAAGCCCUGGUCCAUGGACAUUGUGCCCCCUUCUCCCUGCCCAUGGUGACCUGCUCCAAAACCCUCAAGGAGAAGGGAGUGUAUGUCAUUUCCUCCCUGUAAAGUAAAGAUAAUUUUGCAGGGGACUGUGUGGAUGAAAUGACAUGAUGCAUGGAAAUCCCUUAGCGUGUGCCUGGCAUGUAAACUGCAGGUGUCAUCAUUAUUACUGAGGAAUACUGAGUCCCGAACAUGGCUGUCUCAUUGGUGGACUGGGGUCUCCCCCAGGGCAUUCAUCUACUAUGUGUUUAUUGCACCCUUUUUCCAUGUGAGGCACAUGCCAGGGACUGGGCACAUGGUAUGAACAAGACACAGGUCAUCGGUGUCCUCUUGAGCUCCCUGGCUUGGCAGCAGAUGCAUACCUGGGAAGGAUGCUAGGUCAUCCGGGAACUCUACCUCCUUCAAAUCCCUAAGGACUGUGCUCCCAAUCCGCUUACGCUCAAGGAAGAACUGGAAGGCCCAGAACCAGCCUGCUGUCAGGAUCAGAACAAAAGAGGAGGACUGCAUAUGUAUGGACCCACUCCAGAUGGCACGGGGACGGGGGGAGUAGGAAAAGUGGCAUGAGACCAGGCCCACAGAGUAUGGCUGUGCAAGUUGUUCACUCUACAAGGGCACCUGGCCGGGGUCUUACCUUGAAUGGAGGAGAAGAGCUUGAAGAUGAGGGGACAGGCCAAGACAACUACCUGGCCCCGAGGGGUGGCUGGCCAGCAGAUGAGGAAAUGGAGGCACAGACUGAUUAGAAAACCAGCUCAAGGUCAUGUUGCUGCUCUCUCAUUCCUGUUGAGGGCUCUCUGGUGGAGCCUCUGUCUCACAGGUCACCUGCAGGCCAACACUCCCAGAAGCAGCUAGCACCAUGGUUGACCUCGUCCAGGUCCAGGGAAGGCCUCCCUCUCCAGGACUCCUUUAGAUUUCCCCAGCAUCCAGACCUCACCUGCCUAAGUGCUGUUGCCCUGGAAGCCACAGUGAGCACGAGCUCCAUCUUGCACCUUUACCAGCCAAUGGGGGUAAAGACAUUAGCUGCUCGCUGGACAGUCCCGUCAGACACAGACAUGAAACUCCUGCGAGAAGACCAAGCCCUGGAUAAUAUCACCACUCAUCCUGUGGCACUUCAUUACAUUCCGGCUGGGGAUAUUUGAAUAUUAGAUAUUAAGCAAUUCCUGUCAAUUUUGUUAGGUGUGUAAUGACAGUAUCAUAGUUAUAUAGAAGAGUGUCCUUUGGUUUUAGAGAUGCAUUCUGAAAUGAUUUGGGGUAAAAGGUCAGGAGGUUUAUAAUUUACUUUAAAAUACUUCAGCCCAAAAGCAAAUGAAGCAUAUAUUAAUUGUUAGAUGUUAACAAUUGUC